rnacentral:lncRNA from 1 species
GCGAACACAUGGUUUUUACAUAACCAUUGUGGAGUACCUUUGUUGUGUGAUGAGCGAUUGUCAACAUGCCAACAUUUUGGUGGGUUGUUGGUUCGGUGGUUCUACUGAUAUCCUGGCACAGGGUUAUGUGUCGAAACGGUGUCUCUUGGCUUCGUGAUGUGCAGGUGUGGAGUCUGGAUGCGGUGGCAGCGGUCGGGUGAAGGUCAAGUAGGGCGUGCCGUGCUGACGGACCGGUUGCGGUGAAAGGCGGACGUGAGGCUUGGACUGACGGACCAGGCGACCGGGUGGCCAGCUUCGGUGGCUGACACUUGGGACAUCGAUAAGCGCAAGUGUACAUGGCGGGGGACGCGUACGGGCUACGCUACUCGCGGUGGGUUUCGCGGGUUUGGGCCUCAAAACCCGGGCGGAGGUCCCGAUGCGGACGGAUGGCACGUGGCGGCAUCGGUGAGAUCGCUUCGGAGCGAGGCUACCGGUGAGAAGGCGCGGUGGCCGUCGGAUUUAGGUCAUGUCGAGUUGGACUAGAAUGCCCCUGGGGCUAGCUAGUUCGCUCAAAAAUAUCUAAGGACAUCUGGGGAAUAUGUAAUAUGUCUGAUAAAUAAGCCGGGAGAGUCCCCCGUCUCCCCCAACCCUCUCCACCUACUGCUCUCUCCCUCUCUCCUGUGGCUCUCUCUGUAGGGUUAGUUUUUCUUUUUUAGGUUUUCUCAAGAGUGCCAUGAACUGAUUUUUCGUAGUGAUUGUACUUGUGUUUUUGACAUGGGAAUGGAGGCCCGAAUCCUCCUCGUGCCCUCUGGGAUUCGUCACAUUUAGUUGUGAUUUUUGGCCCCCAAACUGUGUUUGUGCUAUUGUUUUUCGCGAGUUACUGUUCAUCAUUUUCUCCCGUUGUUGAUUUGUGCUUGUCUUGAGUUUUCUGUGGAAUUUGUUUGGCUGUGAUGAUGCUCCAUCAAGUGAUGUACCUGCUCACCAAGUGAUAUGAUUCAAUUCCACUCGUGCAUCAAGAUUCAAGCAAUUUUUGAUUUUGGGGAAUUUUUCGAGUUCUUACUCGUGAUCUGAAUUUCCCGGAGGGAGAACUCGUCUUGGGCCAUGAUUUCCUGGAAAUAGCUUUUCUUCUAUGUUGUGAUUACCUGUGCAAAUUUUGGGAACAAAUCAUGAAGCUUUGGUCAAGAUUUCUUUGAUUUUUGGCUCACUGUUCUUCCUGUUCGCAGCGCUCUGUUCCUGUUCUCCUGCACUUACUCUGUCUUUUGGUUUUGUCCUGCGGAGAGCAGACCCUCCGACGGGCUCCUUGUUCAUUGUGAAGGUCGAGCAGCAGGAGCUGCACUCGUGCUCUCAGGCACCGAGCUAGUGCUCGUCCAUGUGCACAGGCACCCGCCUGUUCUUGCUGUGAGGUAGAGCACUCAAGCACAAGCAGCAGCUGCUCACCCGUGGAUUCCAGUAAUCAGCCUCAAGUUUGUCUGCUUGCUUUCGAUGUUUGUUUUGUAUUCGUUCUCGGUCCCAGAAUCUGUGUUCACAUCCAGCAGGCAGCAGUGCCCAUCGUGAGCCAACAGCCAAGGUGAUUCAGUGCUUGAUUGUGAUUGGUCAGAAGCUAACUUGUUUCAUCCGUGAUUCACUAAUUGUUUAAAGCUUGGAACAUUAAAUUACUUUUGGAUUCUCACGGUUGUGAAUUGUUUAGUUCUUGUUGUGAGUGGAUUGAGCAGAGGAGAGAGUCACAUACCACAAGCAUCUAGCUCUGCAGAUGAAAUUUUCAAGGGAUUUUCUGUCCAAUUUUUUUGCAGCCAUGAUUUCCUGUUUCGCUCGUAAUUUAGUCGUUUGAGCUCCAAAUCGUGUUCCGUCUGUUGCGUUGGUUUUCUACCGCUGUGAGUAAUCAAUCUAGGUACUCUCGUCACCUGUUGGCUAGAGUAUUUUAGGUUUGACAAUUUGCUCUUGUUUGGCGGUGAUUUUGGGACAGAGGCCAAAUAUAUAUUUCCAGAGAAAAUUUGAGGCUCCCAUUCACCCCCCCCUCUGGUCGCUGUUUUCGGUCCUUUAAUUGGUAUCAAAGCCGGUUAAGGAUCAUUCCACCUUAAUCGGUCCGUGAUCCACGAAGGCGACAUGGAGCGUGGUUUCGGUAAACCACCGUUUUUCGAUGGGACAAAUUAUCCCUAUUGGAAGAUCCGCAUGUCUGCACAUCUUCAAGGGAUUGAUUGGCUAGUUUGGGAAAUUUGCGAGGAUGCUACUUUCGUUGUGCUUGAACCCCGUGCUCGAACCACGCAAGAUCAAAAAGAUCGGCACAACGCAAAUAGCAGAGCAAGAUCUGUUCUUUUCUCGAGUCUUUCGCUUCCUGAGUUCGAGCGUGUCUCUGAUUGUGCUACUGCUCGAGAGAUCUAGGUGAGGCUUCAGAGCUAUCACGAGGGUACAGCCUAUGUCAAAACCAGACUCUAUGAGACGUACAAAAGAGAGUACGAGAACUUCACUCAGCUUGAUGGCGAGUCCAUCGAUGCCAUGUUUUCUCGUUUUCAGACGAUCAUUAACAAGAUGCGAGCAAACAAGGCACAGCUACCUUAUGACGAUCAUGAGAGGGCUCUCAAGCUUCUAUAUGCCCUAGAUCGGAAGGUAUGGGAUGUGAAGGUGUCCGCCAUCAUCGAGUCUUCGAACUACGACACCAUCACUGUGGACGAGCUGUUCAGCAAGCUCAAGUCUACCGAGAUCGACUACCAGACUCAAGCCAAGCUCAAGAAUCCCUCUGCACCGACUAUGGCUUUAGUCUCAGGUAACAGUUCAAGUUCUUCAGCUAACCCUUCACAGAUGUCGUUUGCCUUGUCUUCUUUGGUGUCUGUUUCAGAGGAGCAGUUGGAGACCCUUGGGGAUGACGAGCUGGCGUUGAUCAUCAGCCGGUUCUCGCGGUUCCACAACAACCGCUUGAACCGCCGCCGGGGCGAUGAUCAAAAGGUGGGCUGCUACAACUGUGGAGAUCUCGACCACUUCGUCGCCCACUGCCCCAAGAAGAACAAGCACUCCUCCAACAAGUACGACUCCGGCAAGCGCAAGGACAAGCGCGACUACACCUCCAAGAAGUACAAGUCAAAGAAGGGCUUCGACAAGGAGGCGCUCAAGAAGAUGUACCGCAAGAAAGCCAAGGCGCAAGAGCGUGCCUUCCUUGCUUCCCUCAGCGACCUCGAUAACGACUCCGGCGAUGACCGCUCCUCUUCUCCCUCGAGUGACGAUGAGUCCGAGAGGAAGAUGGAGGAGAAGCUGACUGGUCUUUGCUUCGUCGCCGACUCCACUCACGGAGGCUUCUGCACCAUGGCGAUUGAUGAAGAGGUGAAGGCCAGCAAGGAUGAGGUCUCCUUCGACGACGACACCUCCGAGGUACCUCCUUCUGUCGAUGACCUUGUCGCUGAGCUUGAUAGCAUGAAUAUCACCUUGAUUAGUCAAGAUAAAUUGCUUAAGCGUGCUGCCCGUGAGAGGAAAGAGUUUAAGGACAAGCUAGAGUUGGCGCUUAAGGAGCUUGAGGUUGCUAAGGAGUGUGCUGUGGUUGUGUCAGAUGAAGUAGAGUGCGAUGAGUGUGCUGUUCAUAUGUCUAACUUCUCUGAAUUGCAAUCUAAGUAUGCUACUUUGCUUGAUGAGUAUGGUGAGCUGAAGGCUAGGCCUGUCUUGUUGGGUGCGUGCAAGUCCUGCUCGGGCUUGCAAUCUGAGCUGGCAGAGAAGAAUGUCAAGAUCUCUAUUCUUGAGAAGGCCAGUUCAGAUAGCACUAUUGCUAAGUGUGCACGUUGUGAGAGUUUGGUGCUAGAGCUUGAGUCUUGCAGGCACGAUAAGAUGAGAUCCGAGGAAGACAACACAUACCUUCGGUCCAUCUUGAGCUGGGUGUCUAGCAGUGAGCCACAGUUGGGCAUGAUGAUGAGCCAGUUCAGGCGGGAAACUUGCACAUCGGGUGUAGGCUUUGCUAUAGGUGGGAAGGGUGAUAAUCUUUAUGGCAAGGUUGGUGAGUUUAGUGGUUUGAGCCCAAGUGAGAAACCAUCCACUACUCCCAAGUUGAUCAAAUUCACUCCACCUGAGCCUUCCAAACCCACUGUCAAAGAUGGAGUGUUUGAAGAACCUCCAAAAUCCCCACCUCAGAAACAAGUGUGGAUUCCAAAACCUAACCAUCUCAGGAACCCACUUGACACUCUACCAAACAUCUCUGAGGAUCCCCUUCCUAAAGCCAAAAAGCCACCAAGAGUGAACCAUACCCACAAGAGAGUGAACCAACAACCACCCAAGAGAGAGGUAAGGUAUCACUGUGAGUAUUGCCAUAGGGAUGGUCACCUUGUUGAGUUUUGCUUUAGGAGGAAGAGAGAUGAGCGGCGAGAGUACGAGUUGAACAACCGGAAUAUGUACCGCCCACCCCAUGGCGUACAUGUGCCGCCUGUUCAGAGGCGCAGUGCUAGGCCUAGAGGUGCAAUGCCUCAAGGUGCUAGGCCUCAGCUUGCGAGACCACGUGGUGGUCGUGCCCGACGUGGUUCAGGUCAUGAUCAAUAUGACUUUGAACCUCGUGGCGGUGGCUUUGCUUCUCAGUCCCACAGCUCUAGCGGACCACGUUUUCCCUUUCGUGGUGAUCGCUUUCCUCAAAUGGGACAUGGCAUGCUUGGUGUUUUUCCUAACAUUUUUCCAGGGCAAAUGACCCAACACUGGUAUCCUUCACAGUUUACUAACCCCAGUGUUGCGCCAUUUGCUCACCCCAUGUCUUUCUAUUGAUGCAGAUCGGAGGCCUGGAGAACACGUGGCUUGUUGAUUCCGGUUGUUCGCGCCACAUGACUGGAAGUUCAAAAUGGUUCUCCAGCCUCGACCCCGUGCAGUGUAAGGAGUACAUCACAUUCGGGGAUAAUAGCAAAGGUAAAGUGCUUUCUCGUGGGACCAUUCGGGUCAAUGAGAGUUUUGUCAUGAAGGAUGUUGCUUUGGUUUCGAAUUUGCAUUUCAAUUUGCUUUCGGUUUCGCAACUCCUUCAGGAUGGUUUUGAGGUGCGUUUUAAGACUGGCUUGUCUCGUGUUCUUGAUUCUCAAGGAAAUCUUGUUUGUCAGAUUGUUCCUUUUGGCCGUGUCUUUCGAGCUGAUUUUUCUCACGCUUUUGGCUCUUCUCGUUGUCUUGUGGCGGGAUCCUCCUCUGAUCUUUGGAAGUGGCAUAGGAGACUUGGUCAUUUGAGCUUUGACUUACUAGCUAGGUUGAGCUCACUUGACUUAAUCCGAGGAUUGCCCAAGUUGAAAUUUGAGAAGGAUUUGGUUUGUCACCCUUGUCGUCAUGGGAAGAUGGUUGCCGCUUCUCACCCUCCUGUGACUCAGGUCAUGACCAAGGGACCUGGUGAGCUACUUCAUAUGGACACAGUCGGUCCGGCUCGGGUUCGGUCAAAGGGAGGGAAGUGGUAUGUUCUAGUGAUUGUGGAUGACUUUUCUCGCUACUCUUGGGUGUUUUUCAUGGAGGGUAAGGAUGAGGCUUUUUCUCAUGUUCGAGAUUUGAUUCUUCGGUUACAAACUGAGUUGCCUAAGAAUGCCAUGAGAGCUAUACGCAGUGACAAUGGCACAGAAUUCAAAAACACUCAGUUUGAUACCUUCUGUGCUUCUUUGGGCCUCGAGCACCAGUUUUCCUCUCCUUAUGUUCCCCAGCAAAAUGGUGUUGUUGAGCGCAAAAAUCGGACCCUUGUUGAGAUGGCCAGGACAAUGCUCGAUGAGCAUAGGACUCCUAGGAGAUAUUGGGCCGAGGCGAUCAACACCGCCUGUCAUGUCUCAAAUCGCAUUUUUCUACGAGCCUUCUUGAAAAAGACUUCUUAUGAGUUGUGAUUUGGUAGACUACCCAAGGUAAGUCACUUCAGGGUGUUUGGUUGCAAGUGUUUCAUCUUGAAGCAAGGUAAUUUGGAUAAAUUGAGUCCAGGUCCUCCGACGGUAUUUUUCUUGGUUAUGCUUCUCAUUCUCAUGCAUAUCGUGUACUUAACCUUAAAACUAACCGAGUCGUGGAGACCUGUGAGGUCACAUUCGAUGAGACUAUGCCUUGUUCUUCUCCUGUCUUUGAAUGUGCAGGUGAUCAGGAGAUUGGUGAGAGCAUCUUUGUUGAGGAUGAUGCAGAAGAUGCCGAUUGGGGUGAUCCCGAGCCGACACCACUGGCUGCCCCUCUCGCGUCUUCGACAACUACUUCGGCUGACGGCCCCGAUCCUUCUUCUUCCACUACUUGGGGUCCGGUCGAGCAGCCUCCUCAGCCUACACCGGCUGUCCCUGAGGAGGCCCCAGCUGCAGUUGAGGGGGAGGCGACUUCUUCAAGGGAAGCACCUCGACACAUUCAGCGUCGCCAUCCACCUCAGACCAUGAUUGGUGGAAUUGACCAGCGAGUCACGCGGUCUAGGUCAUAUCACAUCUCACACUUCGCUCAUUCUGCUUUUGUUGCUUCUUUUGAGCCUCGAGAUGUUGGACACGCACUAUCUAAUUCCGAUUGGGUUAAUGCUAUGCAUGAGGAGCUAGAAAAUUUUGAGAGAAACAAGGUUUGGGUUUUAGUACCACUUCCACCAGAUUGCCAUCCCAUAGGUACCAAGUGGGUUUUCAAAAACAAACAGAGUGAAGAUGGGGUGGUAGUGAGGAACAAGGUUAGGUUGGUAGCUCAGGGUUUUUGUCAGAAAGAGGGGAUAGAUUAUGAGGAAACAUUUGCUCCUGUUGCCCGUCUAGAAGCCAUUAGGAUUCUUUUAGCCUUUGCAGCUUCAAAAGGGUUCAAGCUGUAUCAGAUGGAUGUAAAGAGUGCUUUCUUAAAUGGGUAUAUAGAGGAAGAGGUCUAUGUGAGACAGCCCCCUGGCUUUGAAAAUCCUAAGUUACCUAACCAUGUUUUUAAACUCCACAAAGCUUUGUAUGGUCUAAAACAAGCCCCGAGAGCCUGGUAUGAGCGUUUGAAAACCUUCUUGCUUGCAAAGGGUUUUAAAAUGGGUUCUGUUGAUAAAACUUUGUUUCUCCUCAAGCAAGGCACUGACACUCUUUUGGUUCAGAUAUACGUGGAUGAUAUCAUUUUCGAUGGCUCUUCUCAUGCACUUGUUGGCAAGUUUGCAGAAACUAUGAGCAGGGAAUUUGAGAUGAGCAUGAUGGGCGAGUUGACGUUCUUUCUUGGUUUGCAAAUCAAGCAAACUAGAGAAGGGACGUUUGUGCACCAAGGCAAGUACACCAAGGAUGUACUCAAGAAAUUCGAUAUGGGCGAGGCCAAGCCUCUUUCGACGCCCAUAUCGACCAUGACGGCCCUGGAUGCAGAUGAAGAAGGAGAAGCUGUGGACCAGAAGGAGUACCGAAGCAUGAUCGGGUCGCUACUGUACCUGACGGCGACAAGACCGGACAUCCAGUUCGCGGUCUGCUUGUGUGCGCGCUUUCAGUCUUCGCCGCGCACAUCUCAUCGUCAAGCCGUCAAGCGGAUCUUGAGGUACCUUCGUUUCACACCUGAGUUUGGUCUUUGGUUUUCAGCUUCCUCCUCUCUUUCUCUUUGCGGCUAUUCUGAUGCGGAUUAUGCCGGCUGCCGUGUUGAGCACAAGUCCACGUCGGGGACUUGCCAGUUUCUUGGGACUUCUCUUGUGUCUUGGUCCUCUCGCAAGCAAUCCUCAGUUGCUCAAUCCACCACAGAAGCCGAGUAUGUUGCUGCUGCUGCUUGCUGCUCCCAGUUGCUUUGGAUGAUAGCCACUUUGAGAGACUUUGGGUUAGAGUUUAGACGAGUGCCUCUGCUUUGUGAUAGCACCAGUGCCAUAAGCGUUGCUAAAAAUCCAGUUCUCCACUCAAAAACCAAGCAUAUAGAUGUCCGCUUUCACUUCCUGCGUGACCACUAUGAGAAAGGAGAUAUUGACCUACACCAUGUUGAUACCCAAAAUCAGCUUGCAGACAUCUUUACCAAACCCCUUGACCAAGCCCAGUUUGCUCGCUUGCGAGGGGAGCUUGGUGUUUGUUUCCCUUUUUAGUUGAGGGGAACUUUGGUCUUUGUACUCUAGUUUUGUUUUCUUUUAGUUUAGCUUCUAUUUUAUUAUUAUUAUUUGUAUCAUAUUGCAUUGCAUUUCAUCUCAUCAUGUAUAUUAGAGCAUUUUGAGCUUCAUGAUUAUAGUUGUUAGAUUGAGAUUAUGCUCUUUGUGAUAUGUCUUGUAUGUACAUGAUGGUGCUUGUCGCUUAGGCUCUUUUUGAUCACUUGAUGCAUGUUUUGAGCUAAGCUGUUUUACAACUUGUGAACUUGACAUAAACCUGUUGAAACUUGAAAAUUGUUCACCAUUGUCUUUGGCAACUAGCAUGUGUAGGAUGUGUUGAGAUCACUUGAGCUAUCAUUUAUAUGCUAGGUUGCUAUGUCUCAUGCUUUGAGUUAUACACUUGCUUGGACAACUUGUAAAUUCUUGUGCUAAAAAUUGAAAAUCAAGCUAAGUGCAAAGAAAAGAUCGAGAUGGGUCUGUACUGUCCUACGUCAAGGUAUCGAGACUACUUCCAAUUGCACUUAUGGAUGAACUUGAGCCUUGUAGUGGAUGCCGAGAUCAUUGUCUUAAGCUUGCGAUUGUCUUUUGACAUAGGCUUGGCAUGGUCGAUAAGUUGGUUUGAUGGUACAGAUAACCUCUCGCACUCACACAUGUUUUUGACUCAACCUUGUGAUAUGCUGCAAACUCCGAUAAAAUGAAAAUUUGAUGAAAACACAAGUCUAAAGUUAGUCUUUGACAUGAUGUAUGAACGCUGCUUGGGGUAGUUCACCCUGUAUACACUUGUUAGCACUAGGUUGAUUUCCUGCUUAUACCUGCUAUGUGCUACUUUCAGUGGUGAACUCCUUCUUACAAUUGCUUAAAAUUGAUCAAAAAUGCUUAAAUGCCAUAUUUCGUUUCACUUGAUCAGUUUGAGCAUUUGCUAGCACUUGUACUUAUUGCUAUACACACAUGACAGCACCACCUAGAGCAUCUUUUCAAUAUGAUUGCUAUACUCCUGAAGUUUCUGCAUUUGUGCAUUCCUUGCAUUCAUAGCAUGAUUUGAGGGGGGAGUUGCACUCCUUGGGCAAAUCUUGAUAAGUGCAUGUGUCAACAAGGGGGAGAAAGUUACACACAAAAAGAGAGACAUGCAUUCAUUUGAGAGAGAUUGCAUUUGCUCAGGGGGAGUUGCAUUUGAGUUACUUUUGCUAGAUGUGUUGAGCCUUUGCCUCUUCUGGAGGGUCUAGUUGUUUUCUGGCUUUUCAAGUUUUGCUAGCGGUGUUGAGCCUGUUUGCCUCUUCUUGAGGGCUAGCAGUGUUUUACUUGGUUGUGUCGAGCCGUUGCCCAUGUCUUUGGGGACCAAGUUGUUGGCUUUGCUUUACUCAUUGUGAGUGACCCGUUUUGAGCUUACACUUGAGUUGGUUUUCUCUGGCUUUGUGUUGGUGUUGACAAUGCACUCAUCAAGGGGGAGAUUGCGAACACAUGGUUUUUACAUAACCAUUGUGGAGUACCCUUGUUGUGUGAUGAGCGAUUGUCAACAUGCCAACAUUUUGGUGGGUUGUUGGUUCGGUGGUUCUACUGAUAUCCUGGCACAGGGUUAUGUGUCGAAACGGUGUCUCUUGGCUUCGUGAUGUGCAGGUGUGGAGUCUGGAUGCGGUGGCAGCGGUCGGGUGAAGGUCAAGUAGGGCGUGCCGUGCUGACGGACCGGUUGCGGUGAAAGGCGGACGUGAGGCUUGGACUGACGGACCAGGCGACCGGGUGGCCAGCUGCGGUGGCUGACACUUGGGACAUCGAUAAGCG